rnacentral:tRNA from 1 species
GGGGCCGUAGCUCAGUCGGGAGAGCGCCUGCUUUGCAAGCAGGAAGUCAGGGGUUCGAGUCCCCUCGGCUCCACCA